rnacentral:rRNA from 1 species
CCUACGGGAGGCAGCAGUGAGGAAUAUUGGUCAAUGGGCGCGAGCCUGAACCAGCCAAGUAGCGUGCAGGAUGACUGCCCUACGGGUUGUAAACUUCUUUUAUAAAGGAAUAAAGUGCGGCACGUGUGCCUUUUUGUAUGUACUUUAUGACUAAGGAUCGGGUAACUCCGUGCCAGCAGACGCGGUAAUACGGAGGAUCCGGGCGUUAUCCGGAUUUAUUGGGUUUAAAGGGAGCGUAGAGGGGUUGUUAAGUAAGUUGUGAAAGUGUGCGGCUCAACCGUAGAAUUGCAGUUGAUACUGGCAGUCUUGAGUGCAGUUGAGGUAGGCGGAAUUCGUGGUGUAGCGGUGAAAUGCUUAGAUAUCACGAAGAACUCCGAUUGCGAAGGCAGCUUACUAAAGUGCAACUGACAUUGAUGCUCGAAAGUGUGGGUAUCAAACAGGAUUAGAUACCCCGGUAGUC